rnacentral:rRNA from 1 species
AGCUCCAAUAGCGUAUAUUAAAGUUGCUGCAGUUAAAAAGCUCGUAGUUGCAUUUCCGAGGCAAGGGAUUAGUCCGACCUUUGGUGGGUAUUUAAUCCUCUUGCCUCGUCCUUGAGUGGUGCUUCUUGGUAUUAAGUUAUCGAGGAGAUAGCCGCUCAUCGUUUACUGUGAGAAAAUUAGAGUGUUCAAAGCAGGCUUAUGCCGUUGAAUAUAUUAGCAUGGAAUAAUAAGAUAGGCCCUCGGUACUAUUUUGUUGUUUUGAGAACCAAGGUAAUGAUGAAUAGGGACAGUUGGGGGUAUUCGUAUUCAGUUGUCAGAGGUGAAAUUCUUAGAUUUACGGAAGACGAACUACUGCGAAAGCAUUUACCAAGGAUGUUUUCA